rnacentral:rRNA from 1 species
GACGAACGCUGGCGGCGUGCCUAAUACAUGCAAGUUGAGCGCUGAAGGUUGGUACUUGUACCAACUGGAUGAGCAGCGAACGGGUGAGUAACGCGUGGGGAAUCUGCCUUUGAGCGGGGGACAACAUUUGGAAACGAAUGCUAAUACCGCAUAAAAACUUUAAACACAAGUUUUAAGUUUGAAAGAUGCAAUUGCAUCACUCAAAGAUGAUCCCGCGUUGUAUUAGCUAGUUGGUGAGGUAAAGGCUCACCAAGGCGAAGAUACAUAGCCGACCUGAGAGGGUGAUCGGCCACAUUGGGACUGAGACACGGCCCAAACUCCUACGGGAGGCAGCAGGAGGGAAUCUUCGGCAAUGGACGAAAGUCUGACCGAGCAACGCCGCGGGAGGGAAGAAGGUUUUCGGAUCGUAAAACUCUGUUGGUAGAGAAGAACGUUGGUGAGAGUGGAAAGCUCAUCAAGUGACGGUAACUACCCAGAAAGGGACGGCUAACUACGUG